rnacentral:rRNA from 1 species
GACGAACGCUGGCGGCGUGCUUAACACAUGCAAGUCGAGCGGUAAGGCCCUUUCGGGGGUACACGAGCGGCGAACGGGUGAGUAACACGUGGGUGACCUGCCCUCAGCUCUGGGAUAAGCCUGGGAAACUGGGUCUAAUGCUGGAUAUGACUCCACGGUGCAUGUCGUGGGGUGGAAAGCCUUGUGCGGCUGAGGAUGGGCCCGCGGCCUAUCAGCUUGUUGGUGGGGUGAUGGCCUACCAAGGCGACGACGGGUAGCCGGCCUGAGAGGGCGACCGGCCACACUGGGACUGAGACACGGCCCAGACUCCUACGGGAGGCAGCAGUGGGGAAUCUUGCGCAAUGGGCGAAAGCCUGACGCAGCGACGCCGCGUGAGGGAUGACGGCCUCGG